UGGGGAAUAUUGCGCAAUGGGGGAAACCCUGACGCAGCAACGCCGCGUGAAGGAUGAAGGUUUUCGGAUUGUAAACUUCUUUGACGAGGGACGAAAUAAAUGACGGUACCUCGAAAACAAGCUCCGGCUAACUACGUGCCAGCAGCCGCGGUAAUACGUAGGGAGCGAGCGUUGUCCGGAUUUACUGGGUGUAAAGGGCGAGUAGGCGGGAUUGCAAGUCAGAUGUGAAAUCUAUCGGCUUAACCGAUAGACUGCAUUUGAAACUGCGGUUCUUGAGUGAUGGAGAGGCAGGCGGAAUUCCUAGUGUAGCGGUGAAAUGCGUAGAUAUUAGGAGGAACACCAGUGGCGAAGGCGGCCUGCUGGACAUUAACUGACGCUGAGGCGCGAAAGCGUGGGGAGCAAACAGG
rnacentral:rRNA from 1 species